rnacentral:misc_RNA from 1 species
AAAGCAUUACGGUGUCAAUGCAUACAGGGUCAGCCAUGAUCCCCAGAGUAUCAUGGCGGAAGUAUACAAAAACGGACCAGUUGAGGUCUCUUUUACUGUCUACGAGGAUUUUGCUCACUACAAAUCAGGAGUUUACAAGCAUGUAACAGGGGGAAACAUGGGAGGACACGCUGUUAAGCUUAUCGGAUGGGGAACUAGCGAGCAAGGAGAGGACUAUUGGCUCAUUGCUAAUUCUUGGAAUAGAGGCUGGGGUGAAGAUGGAUACUUCAAGAUUAGAAGAGGAACAAAUGAGUGUGGCAUU